rnacentral:rRNA from 1 species
GCUCAGGAUGAACGCUGGCGGCGUGCCUAAUACAUGCAAGUCGAGCGAACUGAUUAGAAGCUUGCUUCUAUGACGUUAGCGGCGGACGGGUGAGUAACACGUGGGCAACCUGCCUGUAAGACUGGGAUAACUUCGGGAAACCGAAGCUAAUACCGGAUAGGAUCUUCUCCUUCAUGGGAGAUGAUUGAAAGAUGGUUUCGGCUAUCACUUACAGAUGGGCCCGCGGUGCAUUAGCUAGUUGGUGAGGUAACGGCUCACCAAGGCAACGAUGCAUAGCCGACCUGAGAGGGUGAUCGGCCACACUGGGACUGAGACACGGCCCAGACUCCUACGGGAGGCAGCAGUAGGGAAUCUUCCGCAAUGGACGAAAGUCUGACGGAGCAACGCCGCGUGAGUGAUGAAGGCUUUCGGGUCGUAAAACUCUGUUGUUAGGGAAGAACAAGUACGAGAGUAACUGCUCGUACCUUGACGGUACCUAACCAGAAAGCCACGGCUAACUACGUGCCAGCAGCCGCGGUAAUAC